ensembl:lncRNA
CGCGAGAGUAGGGCGUGGGAGUCACGUCGGUAGCGCGUUGCGUAAGGCGUGUGUUGGGGGGCGGAUUGGCUGCUCCUCUUUUAUGGCCCUUGCCCUAAUUAUCCCUGCUAAUUAAUCUCCUUGAUGAACAGGAGCCUGCGGUGAAGGCACUCCUGACAUCAUGGCGUGGGUGUAAGGAGGAGAGCAAAGCAGAAUUUGGGGAAUCCUUUCCACUAUUAGAGGGAAUUUCUCCAAGCUGUAUCUUUUUACCAGGUGCUGAUGGCUGCAGCAGAGAGCCCGGAGCUGAGCAGAAAAUGCGAACGGGUCAUUGCAUCAACAGCUGGAAAAAGGCAGUGGCUGUGAACAUGAUGGAUCUUGCAGGUGAGAACGUUCCGAGAGCAGCUGAGGCCCUGCAGUCACCAUCCGCUCGCCGCUGGCUCGGUCUGCUCACUGCUUUGCAGCCAGGACACCGGCAGUGCUUCUUCUCCACUUUUCCUAUUCCUGGAGCCUCCUUGUCAGCCCCGUGCGCCCUCACGCUGGCUGCCCACAGUGCUGGCACUUGCAGGCUGUUACUGCAAAAGCUCAGCUCUGCAGAGCCAGGCUGGCAGUCCCAAGAAGACGUCUGGUCCUGAGCGGGGUCACCCAUCCCUGCAUGGCUCUGCGGGGUCCGGCGGCAUCAUCCCAUCAUCCGCUUCAUAACCGUUGCUAAUUGGAAAAUGAAACCAUAAGAAGAAAAUCUGCUUCAAGUUAUUGCAUGGGCUUUUGUCCCCCACCGAGGAGGCACAAAUCAAGGAAUCAGAAUGUUUAACAAAACAAACAGAGAUUUCUUUGGUAUUGUGGGAGAUUUAUAGGCUGCGGCAUCCAGAGAAGCCUCCUCCCGCUCCGUCCUUCUGCUUGAAUUCCUGCUGGUCACUGACUUAUUACUUUUCUUACUGCUUCCCCUGCUUUAAAAGUGGGGAAAGCACAAUCAAAUUAUCAUAAUACUCAUUUGGUUAAUUGCCCAUUUAGUUACUUAUUGAGUUCAUUAAAAAGACAGUGUCAGUUAGGAGGAAAUGCAGAGAGGUGGGCAGUGAGGGGACAGGAUGUGGGCUGAAAUAGGCCAUUACUCUGGCCCCGAGAAUGGCAGUUUGUGUCCCUUCUUUAUUGCUGCAUCACUUCUGUGCAUGUUCUGGAUAAAAAAAAAAAA